rnacentral:rRNA from 1 species
CGCCUGCCCUGUGACAAUAGUUUAACGGCCGCGGUAUUUUGACCGUGCAAAGGUAGCGCAAUCACUUGUCUUUUAAAUGAAGACCUGUAUGAAUGGCACGACGAGGGCUUAACUGUCUCCUUUUUCCAGUCAAUGAAAUUGAUCUUCCCGUGCAGAAGCGGGAAUAUAACCAUAAGACGAGAAGACCCUAUGGAGCUUUAGACGUAAGGCAAAUCUUGUCAAACACUUCAAAAUAAAGAAAAGAACCAAAAGAACUCUGCCCCAUUGUCUUUGGUUGGGGCGACCACGGGGAGACAAACAACCCCCACGCGGACUGAGAAAACAAUUCUCACAACCAAGAGCUACUGCUCUAAUUAACAGAAAUUCUGACCUCAAGAUCCGGCAAUGCCGAUCAACGGACCGAGUUACCCUAGGGAUAACAGCGCAAUCCCCUUUUAGAGCCCAUAUCGACAAGGGGGUUUACGACCUCGAUGUUGGAUCAGGACAUCCUAAUGGUGUAGCAGCUAUUAAGGGUUCGUUUGUUCAACGAUUAAAGUCCU